GAUGAUCAGAGCCCAGCUCACCAGGGAAGAGGAGACACAACGCGUUCUGAUGCAUAUCAUCACCAUUCUUUAUACUCUUCUCACUGAGAACUGAAGGUGCUUUUGCCUCCAAAUAUGACUUAAAAGACUCAGUGCCGCAUGUCUCCCUCUUUGUUCACCUUCAAGAGUUUAAUGCCAGCAUAGAAAAAGAUUUCUCUUCCAUGAAGUACAAUCAGAGUAUGCAUUCUUAUGGGUCUUCAUUUUUUCCUGGCAAAGUUUCGGCACUUGGAAAAGCAGCUGGGGCCAAGAAUAUACAUGGAAAAAGGUGAAUUUUAAACAGCCUACAGGUUUGCUGAAUACUAAGAGGAAAAUUUGGAAGUCCAGCCAGUUAGGCAUAAAGUGAUCAAAUUAAACCUCAGAUGUGUUUCUUCUUGCCGCUUUACUCUUCAGCUGUUGUUUGUUUGUUCUAAUGAUUUUCUGUUGAUAAUUUGGUAAAAAGAAAUGCUUCUGCAACUGUCUUAUUGGAAGGCCUUUUUACACAUUCUUAUUAGAGCAUUUAUAUUCUUUGAAGAGAUCGUGGCAGUCCCAUCUACUGAAGGGUAAUGCUCAAAGAAAACAAUGGAAAACACAAAUGGAAAACACAGUUCUACAAACACUAUAAAGAGACUUCUCUUUAUUUAUCUGAAUAGGAUUUGGUCUACAAGAUCCUGGAGGAUAAUUUUAUGACUUCUCGAUUUAGCCUUAGCAUUCUGCCUAAGCAUAGCAGACUGUGAUUAACAGCUCAGUUACAUCUGUGCUAGCAGACAAAGGCUCUUCUCCUGCUUCUGACGUAGACACCGAGAAUUUUGCCAUGAAUUCAUAUUACUGUAAUUCAGAUGUGAAAUAAAUGUGAAG
rnacentral:lncRNA from 1 species